rnacentral:lncRNA from 1 species
AUGAUGACGAGACAUCAUUCGAGAAGGCACAUAUCAAGGACACCACACACCCCCUGUACAAAAAGGUCUACGAUACGGAAUAAUNUUAUUUAUUACAUCAGAAGUUUUCUUCUUCCUCGGNUUCUUCUGAGCUUUUUAUCACUCAAGCCUCGCCCCCACCCCAGAACUAGGNGGACAAUGACCACCAAGCGGCAUCUUCCCACUAAACCCCAUAGAAGUACCACUCCUAAACACUGCCGUCCUUCUAGCAUCUUCCCACUAAACCCCAUAGAAGUACCGCUCCUAAAUACUGCCGUCCUUCUAGCAUCCGGUAUUACCGUCACAUGAGCACAUCACGCCAUCAUAUCUGGUAAACACAAAGAAGCAGUCCAAGCACUAACUCUAACAAUCACCUUAGGCAUCUACUUCACACUACUCCAAGCAAUAGAAUACUAUGAGGCACCAUUUACUAUUGCAGACAGCGUAUAUGGCACCACAUUUUUUGUAGCAACCGGCUUUCAUGGCCUACAUGUUAUUAUUGGCUCCUCCUUCUUAUUAGUCUGCCUCUUACGACAAAUUAAACACCACUUUACCACCAACCACCAUUUUGGAUUUGAGGCAGCCGCCUGAUAUUGACACUUCGUUGACGUAGUUUGACUCUUCCUUUAUAUUUCUAUCUACUGAUGAGGCUCAUACUUUUCUAGUAUAAUUAUUACAAAUGACUUCCAAUCAUUAAGUCUUGUCCAACCACAAGGAAAAGUAAAUGAUAACCAUUACAAUUACAAUAUUAGCCGUAUCAACACUACUAAUUUUAUUAAAUCUAUGACUACCAAGCAUUACACAAGACUCAGAAAAACUGUCUCCUUACGAAUGCGGAUUUGACCCACUAGGCUCUGCCCACAUCCCAUUUUCACUACAAUUCUUCCUAAUUGCAAUCAUAUUCCUAUUAUUUGACCUAGAAAUCGCCCUCCUCCUACCACUACCAUGAGCACUAAACAACCCAACUCCAACAACCACCCUAAUAUGGACACUAGUACUUAUUAUUCUACUACUACUAGGUUUUAUCUAUGAAUGACUCCAAGGGGGCCUAGAAUGGGCAGAGUAACCAUAGCGAGACUAGUUUAAGCAAAACAAAUGAUUUCGACCCAUUAAAUCUCUCCACCUGAGGCUCGCUACAUAUGACUAUAACNCUGUUUAUACUAAACAUAACAUUUACACUAAGCAUUAUAGGCAUGGCAAUUUACCGAACACAUCUUAUNUCCUCCUUGCUAUGUGUAGAGAACAUGGCCCUAACAUUAUUCCUAAUGAUAACAACACUAUCAACAAACCUUACAUCCACAACCUUAAU